AGUGAACGCUGGCGGUAGGCCUAACACAUGCAAGUCGAACGGCAGCACAGUAAGAGCUUGCUCUUACGGGUGGCGAGUGGCGGACGGGUGAGGAAUACAUCGGAAUCUACUUUUUCGUGGGGGAUAACGUAGGGAAACUUACGCUAAUACCGCAUACGACCUACGGGUGAAAGCAGGGGAUCUUCGGACCUUGCGCGAUUGAAUGAGCCGAUGUCGGAUUAGCUAGUUGGCGGGGUAAAGGCCCACCAAGGCGACGAUCCGUAGCUGGUCUGAGAGGAUGAUCAGCCACACUGGAACUGAGACACGGUCCAGACUCCUACGGGAGGCAGCAGUGGGGAAUAUUGGACAAUGGGCGCAAGCCUGAUCCAGCCAUACCGCGUGGGUGAAGAAGGCCUUCGGGUUGUAAAGCCCUUUUGUUGGGAAAGUAAAGCAGCAGGUUAAUACCCCGCUGUUCUGACGGUACCCAAAGAAUAGGCACCGGCUAACUUCGUG
rnacentral:rRNA from 1 species